rnacentral:rRNA from 1 species
UACGGGAGUGGCAAGCGUUAUCCGGAAUUAUUGGGCGUAAAGCGUCCGCAGGCGGUUUUACAAGUCUGUCGUUAAAACGGGGAGCUCAACUCCAUUUCGGCGAUGGAAACUGUAAGACUAGAGUGUGGUAGGGGCAGAGGGAAUUCCCGGUGUAGCGGUGAAAUGCGUAGAUAUCGGGAAGAACACCAGUGGCGAAGGCGCUCUGCUGGGCCAUAACUGACGCUCAUGGACGAAAGCCAGGGGAGCGAAAGGGAUUAGAUACCCCUGUAGUCCUGGCCGUAAACGAUGAACACUAGGUGUCGGGGGAAUCGACCCCCUCGGUGUCGUAGCCAACGCGUUAAGUGUUCCGCCUGGGGAGUACGCACGCAAGUGUG